UACGUAGGGUGCGAGCGUUGUCCGGAAUUAUUGGGCGUAAAGAGCUUGUAGGCGGUUUGUCGCGUCUGCCGUGAAAAUCCGGGGCUCAACCCCGGACUUGCGGUGGGUACGGGCAGACUAGAGUGUGGUAGGGGAGACUGGAAUUCCUGAUGUAGCGGUGAAAUGCGCAGAUAUCAGGAGGAACACCGAUGGCGAAGGCAGGUCUCUGGGCCGCUACUGACGCUGAGAAGCGAAAGCGUGGGGAGCGAACAGG
rnacentral:rRNA from 1 species